AAAAAGAUAAGAUGUUCAACAUCUCAAGCAAAUCAUCGGCUGUUUAUUGGUAAUGUUCCAAGAAACUGGGAAGAGGAAGAUAUGAAAAAUGUUGUAAUGAAGAUUGGGCCAGGAGUAAUUUCUGUGGAAUUGUUGAAGGACCCACAGAACUCCAGCCGAAAUCGUGGAUUUGCUUUCAUUGAGUAUUAUAAUCAUGCUUGUGCAGAAUACUCAAGAAAAAAGAUGUCAGACGCAAAAUUUACACUUGAUGAUAAUGCUCCAACAGUGAGCUGGGCUGACCCUAAAAAUGCAGGAUCUUCAGCUGCUUCUCAGGUCAAGGCAGUGUACGUGAAGAACUUACCAAAAGACAUUUCUCAGGAUCGCCUAAGACAGCUGUUUGAACGGCAUGGAAAAGUUAUAAAAGUGGUUCUCCCUCCUGCA
rnacentral:misc_RNA from 1 species